rnacentral:rRNA from 1 species
CAGUAGCCGCGGGAAUACGAAGGGGGCUAGCGUUGCUCGGAAUCACUGGGCGUAAAGGGUGCGUAGGCGGGUCUUUAAGUCAGGGGUGAAAUCCUGGAGCUCAACUCCAGAACUGCCUUUGAUACUGAAGAUCUUGAGUUCGGGAGAGGUGAGUGGAACUGCGAGUGUAGAGGUGAAAUUCGUAGAUAUUCGCAAGAACACCAGUGGCGAAGGCGGCUCACUGGCCCGAUACUGACGCUGAGGCACGAAAGCGUGGGGAGCAAACAGGACUAGAUACCCCCGUAGUCCCUGUCUCUUAUAC